GGAUGUGAGGGUGAUCUGGCUGCAACAUCUGUCACCCCAUUGAUCGCCAGGGUUGAUUCGGCUGAUCUGGCUGGCUAGGUGGGUGUCGCCUUCCUCCCUCUCCGCUCCAUGUGUGUCCCUCCCAAAGCUGUGCGCUGAUCGAAGAGGACGGCCUUCCCUGAAUAGAGACAGACCGGUCUUUGGUUGAGGGUAUACAAGUAGCUGCACUCCCCUGCUAGAACCUCCAAACAAGCUCUCAAGUGAUAAGUUGCUCUGUGAAUCUUAGAAAUUGAACAGCACCCUCAUAGCAUUCCACCCACCCCUCCUGG
rnacentral:snRNA from 1 species